UGAGGAAUAUUGGUCAAUGGGCGAGAGCCUGAACCAGCCAUGCCGCGUGAAGGAAGAAUGUCCUAUGGAUUGUAAACUUCUUUUGUAUAGGAAUAAACCUACUCUCGUGAGGGUAGCUGAAGGUACUAUACGAAUAAGCACCGGCUAACUCCGUGCCAGCAGCCGCGGUAAUACGGAGGGUGCAAGCGUUAUCCGGAAUCAUUGGGUUUAAAGGGUUCGUAGGCGGACUAAUAAGUCAGAGGUGAAAUCCAGCAGCUCAACUGUUGAAUUGCCUUUGAUACUGUUAAUCUAGAGUUAUAUUGAAGUAGUUAGAAUAUGUAGUGUAGCGGUGAAAUGCAUAGAUAUUACAUAGAAUACCGAUUGCGAAGGCAGAUUACUAAGUAUUAACUGACGCUGAUGA
rnacentral:rRNA from 1 species